AGUGAACAUGACAGGAUCUCUUGAGAGCCAUAUGGAAGGAAUUGAUGUUCAAAAUGGCCUUCUUGUGGCCUCAAGAUGUCUUGUUUUGUUUCCA